rnacentral:ncRNA from 1 species
AAAAAUAUUGAAUCUCGGUAUCAGUUCUCAUCGUCAUUCGGACUUCUCCUACUUACCUCGGUUGGUUUCACCGAGGUUUUU